UGCGUAGGCGGUCGGCAAAGUCUGAUGUGAAAUCUCCGGGCUCAACCCGGAAACUGCAUCGGAUACUGGUCGGCUAGAGGAUUGGAGGGGGACUGGAAUUCUCGGUGUAGCAGUGAAAUGCGUAGAUAUCGAGAGGAACACCAGUAGCGAAGGCGAGUCCCUGGACAAUUCCUGACGCUGAGGCACGAAAGCUAGGGGAGCAAACA
rnacentral:rRNA from 1 species